AAUCAUUUUUAAAGAUAUCCGUUCAGGGAAUAGUAAUGAAGAUCCACAAAUCACGAUAUAUGAUCCCAAGAUAAAAUAUUGUUUAGGAUUAUUAAAAGAAGCUCAAUUCUCCUUAAAUGAAACAGGGUUAAUUAAUUAUUGU